rnacentral:tRNA from 3 species
GGAGACGUGGGUGAGUGGCUGAAACCAGCGGUUUGCUAAACCGCCGUGGGGGGUUUACUCCCACCGAGGGUUCGAAUCCCUCCGUCUCCGCCA